rnacentral:lncRNA from 1 species
UAACUCACCCUCUCUGACUGAACAACAAACUUUAUGCCAGCCACCUGAUGAUCUUUCUUCCUGUCCUCAAUUUCGCCCCACAGUAAGUUGGCAAAUAUUUGCUCUAAUCUUUUCAUUCCCUCUUUAGAGCUAAACAUUAUGGAUAGUAGGUAAAUUAGCAUGGUAUUUAGCACAUGGGCUUGUGGUCCUGCUGCCCACGCUUCCUCCAUUUUGAUAAUCGUGUGAAUAGAUAGUGGGCAGAGAAAAAGGGAAGGAGGUCCUCAUACGGAGUC